rnacentral:rRNA from 1 species
GACGAACGCUGGCGGCGUGCUUAACACAUGCAAGUCGAACGGAAAGGCCCUGCUUUUGUGGGGUGCCCGAGUGGCGAACGGGUGAGUAACACGUGAGUAACCUGCCCUGGACUUUGGGAUAACUUAAGGAAACUGGGGCUAAUCCCGGAUAGGAGCCCCUGCUGCAUUGUGGGGGUGGGAAAGUUUCGGCGGUUGGGGAUGGACUCGCGGCUUAAAAGUUUGUUGGUGGGGUAGUGGCUUACCAAGGCUGUGACGGGUAGCCGGCCUGAGAGGGUGACCGGCCACAUUGGGACUGAGAUACGGCCCAGAGUCCUACGGGAGGCAGCAGUGGGGAAUAUUGCACAAUGGGCGGAAGCCUGAUGCAGCAACGCCGCGUGCGGGAUGACGGCCUUCGGGUUGUAAACCGCUUUCGCCUGUGACGAAGCGUGAGUGACGGUAAUGGGUAAAGAAGCACCGGCUAACUACGUG